GAUGAAGAACGUAACGAAAUGCGAUAAGUAGUGUGAAUUGCAGAAUUCAGUGAAUCAUCGAAUCUUUGAACGCACAUUGCGCCCCUUGGUAUUCCAUGGGGCAUGCCUGUUCGAGCGUCAUUUGUACCUUCAAGCUCUGCUUGGUGUUGGGUGUUUGUCUCGCCUCUGCGUGUAGACUCGCCUCAAAACAAUUGGCAGCCGGCGUAUUGAUUUCGGAGCGCAGUACAUCUCGCGCUUUGCACUCAUAACGACGACGUCCAAAAGUACAUUUUUACACUCUUGACCUCGGAUCAGGUAGGGAUACCCGCUGAACUUAAGCAUAUCAAUAAGCGGAGGA
rnacentral:misc_RNA from 1 species